UCCAGGUACCACUACUACGGCAUCGGAAUCAAGGAAACUAGUGCCUACUACCACUCUCUAUAUUCAGGGAAAGGACUCACAAGAUUUUCUGGAGCGAGGUUGAAAAAUGAGGGUGGGUUCACCAGGAAAUAUUCCCUCAGCUCCAAGACGGGGACACUGCUACCUGAGUUCUGCAAGGCUGAAAGCCUCAUUCUGGACUCAGACAUCGGAAAAGACAAGGUAAGGUCAAACAAAGAUGUUUUUG